rnacentral:rRNA from 1 species
UCUUGGUCAUUUAGAGGAAGUAAAAGUCGUAACAAGGUUUCCGUAGGUGAACCUGCGGAAGGAUCAUUACCGAACCGUCGACACGAGUUGUUGCUGGCCCCUUGAAGGGGGGCAUGUGCACGCUCUGUCUACAUAUCCACUCACACCUGUGCACUCUCUGUAGUUCUGUGGCCUGAGGGACCCUGUUCCUCUGCUGCGGUUCUACGUCUCUAUACACACCCUGUAGUGAAGUCUUAUGGAAUGUGUGCCGCGUUUAACGCAAUGAAAUACAACUUUCAGCAACGGAUCUCUUGGCUCUCGCAUCGAUGAAGAACGCAGCGAAAUGCGAUAAGUAAUGUGAAUUGCAGAAUUCAGUGAAUCAUCGAAUCUUUGAACGCACCUUGCGCCCCUUGGCUAUUCCGAAGGGCAUGCCUGUUUGAGUAUCAUGAACACCCUCAACCCUUGUGGUUUGCCACAAUUGGCUUGGACUUUGGAGGUCUUGCUGGCUCCGGUCGGCUCCUCUCAAAUGAAUCAGCUCACCAGUGUUUGGUGGUGUCGCAGGUGUGAUAACUAUCUACGCUUGCGGUCAUCCUCCAUGCAACCCUCAGCAAUGAGGGUUCACUGGGGCUCACAGAUGUCUCUCCUGAGCGAAGACAGCUCUUUGAACGUUCGAUCUCAAAUCAGGUAGGACUCCCCGCUGAACUUAAGCAUAUCAAUAAGGCGGAGGAA